rnacentral:rRNA from 1 species
UCGAGGAUCUUCGUCAAUGGGCGCAAGCCUGAACGAGCGACGCCGCGUGGAGGAUGAAGGCCUUCGGGUUGUAAACUCCUGUCGAGGGGGAGGAAGGGGUAACCUUGACCGAUCCCUGGAGGAAGCACGGGCUAAGUUCGUGCCAGCAGCCGCGGUAAGACGAACCGUGCGAACGUUAUUCGGAAUCACUGGGCUUAAAGCGCGUGUAGGCGGGCGGGUACGUCGGCCACUGAAAGCCCCCGGCUCAACCGGGGAAGUGGUGCCGAAACGGCCGGCCUGGAGGGGCGUAGGGGGACCUGGAACUUCCGGUGGAGCGGUGAAAUGCGUUGAGAUCGGAAGGAACGCCCGUGGCGAAAGCGAGGUCCUGGACGCCAUCUGACGCUGAGACGCGAAAGCCAGGGGAGCGAACG